AUGGUUAAGAUAGAAAGGGCGCACGGUGGAUGCCUUGACACUAGGAGUCGAUGAAGGACGGGACUAACGCCGAUAUGCUUCGGGGAGCUGUAAGUAAGCGUUGAUCCGAAGAUUUCCGAAUGGGGAGACCCACCAUACGUAAUGGUAUGGUAUCCUUAUCUGAAUACAUAGGGUAAGGAAGGCAGACCGAGGGAACUGAAACAUCGAAGUACCUCGAGGAAGAGAAAGCAAAUGCGAUUUCCUGAGUAGCGGCGAGCGAAACGGAACAUAGCCCAAACCAAGAGGCUUGCCUCUUGGGGUUGUAGGACAUGCUAUACGGAGUUACAAAGGAAAGAGGUAGACGAAGCGACCUGGAAAGGGCCGUCGUAGAGGGUAACAACACCGUAGUCGAAACUUCGUUCUCUCUUGAAUGUAUCCUGAGUACGGCGGAACAAGUGAAAUUCCGUCGGAAUCUGGGAGGACCAUCUCCCAAGGCUAAAUACACCCUAGUGAUCGAUAGUGAACCAGUACCGUGAGGGAAAGGUGAAAAGCACCCCGGAAGGGGAGUGAAAGAGAUCAUGAAACCGUGUGCCUACAAAUAGUCAGAGCCCGUUAACGGGGGAUGGCGUGC
rnacentral:rRNA from 1 species